rnacentral:piRNA from 1 species
UAAAAGACUUUCUGUGAUUACA